rnacentral:rRNA from 1 species
GACAGAGGGUGCAAACGUUGUUCGGAAUUACUGGGCGUAAAGCGCGUGUAGGCUGCUUGGAAAGUCGGAUGUGAAAGCCCUGGGCUCAACCUAGGAAGUGCAUUCGAAACUUCCAAGCUGGAGUGCUGGAGAGGAAGGCGGAAUUCCGGGUGUAGCGGUGGAAUGCGUAGAGAUCCGGAGGAAGACCGGUGGCGAAGGCGGCCUGCUGGGCAGUUACUGACACUGAGGCGCGACAGCGUGGGGAGCAAACAGG